rfam:Trichoderma reesei QM6a unplaced genomic scaffold TRIREscaffold_8, whole genome shotgun sequence.
GGGCGAAUGGUUUAGUGGUAUAAUUUUCCCUUAGCAUGGCGCAGCCUCCGAGUUGCCACACGCUUGGGAAAGGUCCAGGGUUCGAUUCCCUGUUCGUCCA